UACAGAGGUCUCAAGCGUUGUUCGGAUUCAUUGGGCGUAAAGGGUGCGUAGGCGGCGCCGUAAGUCAGGUGUGAAAUUUCGGAGCUUAACUCCGAAACUGCAUUUGAUACUGCGGUGCUUGAGGACUGGAGAGGAGACUGGAAUUUACGGUGUAGCAGUGAAAUGCGUAGAGAUCGUAAGGAAGACCAGUGGCGGAGGCGGGUCUCUGGACAGUUCCUGACGCUGAGGCACGAAGGCCAGGGGAGCAAACGGG
rnacentral:rRNA from 1 species